CACCCUCCCCCCCCAAAGUCAUAUCAUUUCUUUUUUUUUAUUCCACCAUUUCUCUAUCUCUCCCUACCCUCCGUAUUUUACUCUUCCUCUUCAAUUCACAAACACAAACCCUCAAUCUCUUCUCUUGAACCACCAUAUCCAUAUCUCAAUCUCUCUCUCUCUCUCUCUCUCUCUCUCUCUCUCUCUCUCUCUCUCUCUCUCUCUCUCUCUCUAUAUAUAUAUAUAUAUAUAUAUAAAUCCCCCCCAUCAUAUACAUACAUGUAUAUAUUCUUUUCUUUUAUUUUUUCUCUUUAAACAGUAAAAAUAUUCUCUCUAUAUGUCUUUAUAUCAUUAACCUCCUCUCAUAGCCACUAGUUUGUGUUGUUUUAUCACUGCCAACGACAGUUUUAGUGCUGUAGAAAGUUCCUCCCUUUGAAGUGAUAACUGUGGAACUUAUAAAGAUUUCAGAGGGGACUUGGUUGAUCACUUGAGGUUGGAAGUUUUGAGGAUGGAUGGUUUUGUUACUUAGAGAUGGUUUUGAUUAUACAAAGAGUGUUCUUUUGGUCAUACUUUAGUUAUUUUACAGUUUUUGGUUGGAGGAUCUAUUUUGUAAAUAUUUAAGAAUUUAAUAGCUCUAGUUGAACUUGUAAAUGUGUUGGUGGGGAUCAUUGUAUUAUAGUUGUGAACAUUUUGAAGUUAUGUAUAUGAUACAUAUUGUAAAUAGGGAGAAAGUUAUAAUAAUAUAGACAGAACUCUGUCCGUUAAUUAUA